UACAGAGGGGGCAAGCGUUGUUCGGAAUUACUGGGCGUAAAGGGCGCGUAGGCGGCCCGCUAAGUCGAACGUGAAAUCCCCGGGCUCAACCCGGGAACUGCGUCCGAAACUGGCAGGCUUGAAUCCGGGAGAGGGAUGUGGAAUUCCAGGUGUAGCGGUGAAAUGCGUAGAUAUCUGGAGGAACACCGGUGGCGAAGGCGGCAUCCUGGACCAAUAUUGACGCUGAGGAGCGAAAGCCAGGGGAGCAAACGGG
rnacentral:rRNA from 1 species